rnacentral:pre_miRNA from 1 species
UUUUUCUCCACUUUGUAGGCGAACAUGUUUCUAGUGCACGGUUUUAGUUAAAGUUACGUGACUAGAUUACAUGCUCGUCUAUUAAGAAGAGAUCG